GACACAAUUUCACAAUGAAGCCGAAUCUAAGACAUGCACACAUCGCCCGUCACUCUCGCCUAAAGGCGAGAUAAGUCGUAACAAAGUAGGUGUAACGGAAGUUGCACCUGU
rnacentral:rRNA from 1 species